rnacentral:rRNA from 1 species
UUGGAGGGCAAGUCUGGUGCCAGCAGCCGCGGUAAUUCCAGCUCCAAUAGCGUAUAUUAAAGUUGCUGCAGUUAAAAAGCUCGUAGUUGAAUUUCGGGACCAUCAUGUCGGUCGUGCCUCGGUACGUACUGGUAUUGUUGGUCUCUCCCUUCUGACGAGCCAUGAUGUCAUUUAUUUGGUGUUGUGGGGAAUCAGGACUGUUACUUUGAAAAAAUUAGAGUGUUUAAAGCAGGCUCACGCUUGAAUACAUUAGCAUGGAAUAAUGAAAUAGGACGUUUGAUUCUAUUUUGUUGGUUUCUAGGAUCGACGUAAUGAUUAAUAGGGAUAGUUGGGGGCAUUAGUAUUCAAUUGUCAGAGGUGAAAUUCUUGGAUUUAUUGAAGACUAACUACUGCGAAAGCAUUUGCCAAGGAUGUUUUCAUUAAUCAAGAACGAAAGUUAGGGGAUCGAAGACGAUCAGAUACCGUCGUAGUCUUAACCAUAAACUAUGCCGACUAGGGAUCGGAUGAUGUUAAUUUUUUAAUGACUCAUUCGGCGCCUUACGGGAAAC